AAGAAUAUGAGUGCAGCAGUUGAAAAUUUUCAGUUAGUUCUGGAUUCACAUCGCUGGGUUCCACUACCAGUAGUUGGCUUUCCCACCAAUGGUAUUGGUGAUGAAAUCAGGAGGAUGUGACUCCACCAUCUUAUCUAAUGGAACAUCCACCUCUUGCAGUGUUUGUUAAUGGUGUGUCUGCUGCAAUGAACGAACUACGUCCUUGUGCCCCAAUAAGUUUGAAGUUUGUUCUUGCUCAAGAAUUAAUUAAGGGCUUGAGGGCUGUUUCUGAUUCUCUAUUAAGAUACAAUGCAACUCGGAUGCUUAGAGAAAAUGAAUCUGCACUUUUCCUCUCACUUUGCCGAGCUUUUAUAGAGGUGGCUUAUCCACAUUGUGCCACAUGCUUUGGUCGCUGUUACCCAGGGGGCACUGCUCUUAUCAUGGAUGCAAAGAAUCUAUAUGAUGGAAUUGGCCGGCUAUUGGCAACCUCAUCAUCAAGAGAACUCCCAAAACCGGUCAAUAAUCCUGAGGAAAAGAGUAUAACAGAAAAUGGGGACCUGCCUGUGGUGGAAAAUGGAGUUAUUCCAGAGGCGGAACAAACACAGGGUAACGAUGCAGAUGAAAAGGAGCAGAAAAGCCCUACUUUGCAGACAGAUGGAAAGCUUACUGAUGCAUGAAACACCAAAUGGAUAAUUCAAUCCUGGUACACACCCAAAAAAAGAAAAUCCUGAUUGAGGCCCACC
rnacentral:misc_RNA from 1 species